UUCUCUUUCUACUCCAUCCUCUUGCUGUGAAACCAAAACUACUCCAUCAUCACCAACUUCCUUACCCAAGUCACAAUGACAAUCGUUAUCCUCAGAAACUUCAGUUUGAGGAGCAUCUGGAUGCCUGGUAGCAUCUGCCAUAAUCUUCUUCUGCCUCUUGAUAUCCAAAUGCGUCACGUUAUCACAGGCUAAAUUACCUACCCUAAAUGGCACCAACACCGGGGAGUACAUGUCCUCCAUCAAAAUCCUUAUCUAGCAAGUAGAG
rnacentral:lncRNA from 1 species